ACCCGUUGAUCCUGCGGGAGGUUGCUGCUAUUAGGGUUCGAUUAAGCCAUGCACGUCAUCUAGCAAUAGAGGCAAACCGCUCAGUAACACGUCAAUAACCUAACCUUAUGCUCAUGAUAACCUUGGGAAACUGAGGCUAAUAAUGAAUAUGAGAAGGCAACUGGAACGUUUCUUCUCUGAAACGCAAGGUAUAGGGAUGGGUUGGCGGCCGAUUAGGUUGUUGGUGGUGUAAAGGACCACCAAGCCAAAGAUCGGUAGGGGUCUUGAGAGAGAUAGCCCCGAGAAGGGCACUGAGACACUUGCCCUAGCCCCACGGGGUGCAGCAGGCGCGAAACCUUUACAAUGUGCGCAAGCAUGAUAAGGGGACCCUAAAUGCCUUGCUUUUGCAAGGCUUUUGCCAAGUUUAAAACGCUUGGAGAAUAAGUGGUGGGAAAGACUGGUGCCAGCCGCCGCGGUAACACCAGCGCCACGAGUGGCAUCCAUGAUUAUUGGGUCUAAAGCGUCCGUAGCCGGUUUAAUAAGUCUCUUGUGAAAUCAUUGGGCUUAACUUAAUGGUGUGCUUGAGAUACUGUCAAACUAGGGACUGGGAGGAGUCAGAGGUAUUUCUGGGGGAGCGGUAAAAUGCUAUAAUCCCGGAAGGACCACCUGUGGCGAAAGCGUCUGACUAGAACAGAUCCGACGGUGAGGGACGAAAGCCAGGGGAGCAAUCCGGAUUAGAUACCCGAGUAGUCCUGGCCAUAAACGCUGCUAGCUAGGUGUUGCAUAUUCUUCGUGAAUAUGCAGUGUCGUAAUGAAGAUGUUAAGCUAGCCACCUGGGAAGUAUGGUCGCAAGACUGAAACUUAAAGGAAUUGGCGGGGAGCACCACAAGGGGUGCGGCGUGCGGUUUAAUCUAACUCAACGCAGAGAAUCUCACCAGAGGCGACGGCAGUAUGAAGGUCAGUCUAAAGGGCUUACCCAACGAGCCGAGAGGUAGUGCAUGGCCGCCGUCAGCUCGUGCCGUAAGGUGUCCUGUUAAGUCAGGCAACGAGCGAGACCUGUACUUACAAUUGCUAACGAGCAGUUAUGUGAUCGAGCACAUUGUGAGAACUGCCCUCGAAAGGGGGAGGAAGGUGCAGGCUACGGUAGGUCUGUAUGCUCCGAAUCCUCUGGGCUACACGCGCGCAACAAUGGUAAUGACAAUGGGAUGCGACUCUGAAAAGAGGAGCUAAUCCUCGAAACAUUAUCUCAGUCCAGAUUGUGGACUGUAAUUCGUCCACAUGACGUUGGAAUCCCUAGUAAUCAGAAGUCAAAAUCUUCUGGUGAAUAUGUCCCUGCUCCUUGCACACACCGCCCGUCAAACCACCCGAGUAGGGUCUAGAUGAGGUCUUAUUUUUAAUAAGUUCGAAUCUAGGCUUUGCGAGGAGGGUUAAGUCGUCACAAGGUA
rnacentral:rRNA from 1 species